AAAAUUCUAUGACUACCAAAGAUCCGACGAUUCUCAAGGACAAUCAACCCGAUCGUUCGACCGAAUCGAACAGAGACAUCGCCGAGCAAACGUUCCGCAAUGACCAGAAUAUCGUGGCUAAAAAACAAAACGAAAGCCGAGUUUCGAACAUGUACAGCGAUAAAUCCGAAGUGAUCAAAUAUUUGCAAGGAAAUCAAAUAUUGAGAGAUUUUCUUCUGCGUGACGAAAAAAGGGUUUUUGAUCACGCCGAGCUCGAUGUGAUUCUCGCACAUUAUUCUUCUCUGAAAGGGCUGAAAAUAGCGGCAGCUGCUGACGAUUCCUUCGGGAAUUCAUCGAACUCCGAAUCAUGGAAGCAUCAGCAGCAUCUGCUGGCGUUGAAUUUACAUCUGAAAUUGCAGCGGUGCGUGGAAAAAUUCGGUAACUCCCAACAGAUCGAGUCUCUCCGGAAAUUAAAACCUCUGAAUCAAUCUGAAACUGAUUCGAACGGAGAUCGGAACAACGGGGCAUCAUCCGGCGACGUGGACCACGCCAGGAGCGAGCGAGAAGUGGAUGUCAACGAAUCUGGAAUCAGUGGAAAUGAGGGAGGAAAAAUUCGGGAGUCGACAGCGCCGUCGUCGGAUAAAAAUCAACUCCUCACCGAUAUUAAAACGGAGGUUGAAGAGGAACCAGAGCCAGUCGCCGAGGUCCCGCAAGAAAAUCCGUCGAACGGUAUGGUGGAGAGUAACUACCCGCACCCUUCUUGACUGCAUUUUCUAAAAGCUCAGGUUUCUAGUAAUUGUACUUUUUGCAUUUUUUUUUUUUUUCAAAUGGAGCAGAAGCGCGUCCUCAGAGUGGCAGAAUGAUCGAUCCGAUGGUUUACCUGGUUCAGGCGAAGAUUCAGUCCGCAACGUCGGAACUUACUCACCAGUUAAAGCUGCAAAAACUCGAGGUAAAAAUGCAGUCGAUCUGCGGGGAUCGACACCGAUGAAUAAUUUUUCGAAUUUUCAUUCCUGAAAAAAAAAACAAAAAAUUUCAUUACAGUUAGAAGAAAAGGAACUGAAGGUGAAGAUAGCGGAGAUGACGGUCCAGGAAACUAAACUUCGGAUCGAAAGCAUCGUCGAAGAAAAGCUCAGAGCCAAAGAACUUCACGAUUUGCGCCUCGGUCAAAUCGCCGCCGAAAAAGCACGAGCGGAGGCGGAACACACGGCGCGUAUCGAAGCGGCUUGCGUCGCGACGGCAGUGAGUCGUGCUCGAAUUACAAACGUAGAACGAGACAGGGAGCGUUCGGAAGGGCUUCAUCAACUGCAACUGCAACGUUUCAGAUCCCUCACUGCGAAUUCCAACAACGCGAACGGCAUGAGCAACCUAAAUUUCAGACAAUACCAGCAACAGUAGAUUCCGCGACGAGCUUUUUUUCCUCCCCGCUUGAUUACAGAUGAGUCGAUUUAUUCAGUGAUACCGAAAUGAGAAGAAAAAAAAAAAAAAACUUCAUCAAAGUUCCUUCAGUUUUAAUUAUGAAUGUUUGGUUGAUUAAUAAUAUAUCGAUAAAUAGAUGGGGUUGUAACUGUUAUGUAUCUCGGUUAUUAGGUAUAUAUAUCGUUUACAAAACAGUGACGAGAUCUUAAAAAAUAACAAUUAUAUAUUACAUGUGUGUGUUUGCGUAAUAAUUAAUCGUACGAUAACAAUUUUAAUUCUUU
rnacentral:misc_RNA from 1 species